ensembl:snRNA U6 U6 spliceosomal RNA
GUGCUUACUUCAGCAGCACCUAUACUAAAAUUGACAUGAUACAGAGUUAGCAUGGCCCCUGCCCAAAGGUGAUACACAAAUUCUUGAAGUGUUUCAUAUUUUU